UACAGAGGUCUCGAGCGUUAGGCGGAAUCACUGGGCUUAAAGCGUGUGUAGGCGGAUGCCUAAGUACCUUGUGAAAUCCCACGGCUCAACCGUGGAACUGCUUGGUAUACUGGGUGUCUUGAGCCACUUAGGGGCUACCGGAACAAAUGGUGGAGCGGUGAAAUGCGUAGAUAUCAUUUGGAACGCCAAUGGUGAAGACAGGUAGCUGGGAGUGUGCUGACGCUGAGACACGAAAGCCAGGGGAGCAAACGGG
rnacentral:rRNA from 1 species